rnacentral:lncRNA from 1 species
ACAACCCAAGAGAAAGAAAGACACUACUGGAAAAUAAAAAAAUCGCCAUUCAUUGCUUGGGACAGAAAACAAAGCCANCUAAAGGAAGGGAGGGCAUUGCCAGAGGUGNUAGGCUAACGAUAGCAUCCGAACUUCAAGAGGUAAGCANUGCCCUGCCCAAUAUGUUUUAUUGAGUUAUUUGCUUAUUAUAUCUCUGGUGUGUUGCUGCCAUGUUUGCGCAUGAUUGUUGUUGGACAUUUUGUAUACGNUAUCGUCAUCUUCCCGCUUUCACUCCUACGGCUCUAAUUUCUCUUGUCCCAAGCAAGUUCAUCCNCCCAACCAACAGCCAAACGAGAUUAGAUACACCUGUUUCCAUUUCUUAAGCAAGACCGCAAAUAUCAUUCACAAGCCAUUAUUUUUUCCUUAACCCCCGUUCACCUGCAGAAACAAGAAAGACCAUAUCUNACCAUACUGCUCAUAGCCUUUCAUUCUGGAAAAACCAAUAACCAAAGUUACUUUCCUNCAAGAACAAAGACAUAACAGUUUCAUCACCCUCAUCAACUUCAGACCAUUCGAACCCUCGUCUUUAACAGUUUCGAUCAAUAGAUCAUCAACGCACCCAUUAGAACCUCCACCCCAACUCACGCAGCACACCAUCAUCCUCAACCUGCGCUGCACAAAGUCACAGAAACAAAAACAAUCACUAAGAACCAAGACUCAUUCUUUUGUCGUUUCGUACUCUCUGCCUAGCAAGAUGCCUACGCUCUUCAUCUGAAUCCAACAUCAUUUUUCACCUGCAACAAUCCAAAACAUAGAGAAAUCAACUCACAGAUCCCAUGCCAAUUUGUUUAAAGUUAAUCGCAGUGCAGCCACAGCCUUAGCAUAGCCAAACAACCCAAAAUCUCUGCAUCUGUUUUAACUGCUCUGGAAAUCGAAACCAUUUUCGGUCACCACGACGCCUCUGUUGCGCGCAUGAACGACAACCGGUCUACCUGAGGCAAUGGCGUUUUGUCUUGUUGGUGGCGGCGCUCUUGGACUUGAAGAAGAGGAAAGGGGUUUCCCUGCUCGCGAGCGAAGGAGAGAGGAAGAAGAGCUCACCAGCAGCGACAGAGCUCGUCGGCGUCGAAGAGAGAAGAGGGUGGCACGGUGGCUGGAUUCGAAGCAGUGGUGGCCGGCNGUGCAUUUGAGAAGGAACCCCCAACCCUAGGUUAGCACGAGAAAAGAGAAGGAGAGGGAAAGGCUUGACGGCGGCAACCGGUGGGGAGCUGUGGUCGACGGUGGUCGCUGGCGACCCUUUUGGUGGCGUCGCAGUGGCCGUUCGGUGGAGGCAGCGGCAGAGUGCGUGGGUGGUGAAGAUGAAGACCUCUUUAGGUUUUCCAUUCAGAGAAAGACUUGGGUCUCUUUGUGCUGGAUGCAAAUGGUAUAAUGAAGGCAGUCUGAUAGAACCCCUGAAGUUUCAGCUGGGGACCUUUGGGCCAGGCCCAGUUCGUUUUCUUUUUUCUUUUUUUAAAAUAAUAAUAAUAAUAAUAAUAACAAAACGCCUUUCCCGGUGCACCCCCGUUUCUUACCCACACACCCCUGUCCAUUCCUUUGGCUUGGGUUCAGGUCCGUUCUGUUCCUACAAAACAAACAAAAAAGGAUUCUUUCAUGCACCCCUUAUUCUCAUUUUCGCAGCCCCUUAUUUUGGGCUCAAACCCAUUCUGCAACCAAUCAAAAGAUCUAUUCUGCACUCCCUGCUUUCCUAUUCACACUCCCUUUUCACUUAGGCUUGGGCCCAGUUCAUUUUUUUAAAAGGAGGUUUGCAGCCCCUCUUUUCCAUUUCACCACCCCUUUUCACUUGGGCUUAGCCCCAACCUGUUAUAAGAAUUAAUUUAGUUUGCACACCCCUCUUCUUAUCUAAGUACCACCACUCCUUUUAUUUAUUAUUUUGUCAUUCAAUUUUUAGGUUAUUUUUACUUUUUAUUUUACUUAGUUAUUUACCUAUUUCUAUUUUUCCACUUUAUUUUAUUUAUUUAUUUACCUAUUUAUUUUGUUUUAUUUACUUUUUUAAAUAAAUAUUAAAAACAACAAAAAAAUAUUUCGAAAAGAUUCUAGCAUAUGUGUGAUCGCACGCAUCGUCCUUGUGUUAGAAAACCUUUUUCUUCUUUCAUAAAAAAUAUAAAAAAAAUAAAAUUUUAAAGGUUUAAGCAUGUGUGCGAUCAUUCGCAUCAGCCUCGUGCUAAGAUCUUUUCUCCUUUUACAAAAAUAUCAAAAAAUGUGUUUUAAGGGUUUAAACACGUAUGUGAUCACAGCAUCGUCCUCGUGCUGAGACCUUUUCUUCCUUUUAUAAAAAUCAAUAAAAAUUGUUUUGAAGGUUUAAGCACGUGUGUGAUCGCACGCAUCGUCCUCGUGCUGAGAACCUUUUCUUUUUAGAUAAAAAUAUCCAAAAUACAAAACAUUAUUUUUCAGAACACAAACAACCUUUCAACCAGAACUACGUAACCCUGAUUUCUCAGUCCAACUGAGAAUACGUAGGAGCAAGGUCAAUCCUUGUCGGGCACAAAAAACACAAAAAAUAUUUUGUUUUCUUUAGUUUUAUUUUAUUUUUAUUUUUAUUUUUAUUUUUUUAUUUUUUUAGGGGAAAUUAAACAUUUUGCAAACCAUAUCAANAUUUUGUUUUCUUUAGUUUUAUUUUAUUUUUAUUUUUAUUUUUAUUUUUUUAUUUUUUUAGGGGAAAUUAAACAUUUUGCAAACCAUAUCAAAUUCGCGUAUUUAAUUAAAGGUACUGCCUUAGGGCAGGCGUUGUGGGGGUGCUAACACCUUCCCCACACGUAACCGACUCCCGAACCAAAAUCUGGUUUUUUUUUUCGUAGACCGCCUUAUCCCUUUUUUAUGGUUUUUUUCCAUAGUUUUCUAGAAUAAACUAUGGUGGCGACUCCAAAUCUCUUUUUUCCAAAACUUAUUAAUUAUUUCUGGAUCGUCGUCCCGUCGCGAUUUUCCGGUUGCGACAGAUAUAUUGUAGUGUAACAGACAUAAUGGGUCAUAUGAGUGUGAAUACUAUGUAAUGUAUUGGAUGACCCAUAUUAUUCGUUCUCAUAUCAUAAGAGGUUGAGAAACGGUAAUAUUUAAAUCUAACAAAUUUUGAUUUUCUCCAAAAUUUGGAAUUCAUAUACACUAAUUAAUAUCAAUUGUCUUGUGCAGAGAUUCAAGACUACUACACUAGUUCCUAAGAAGCCACCACUACCAAAAUACAUGGAAUUACCGACGGAAUUCUACCAACGGAAUUAAUUCUGUCGGUAAAUGAUGCAAAAUAUUUAGUUAGAUUAUAUAAUAGUUCUUAGUUAUUAGAUUUAAAAUAAUU